rnacentral:rRNA from 1 species
GUACACUCCUGCGGGAGGCAGCAGUGGGGAAUAUUGGACAAUGGGCGCAAGCCUGAUCCAGCCAUGCCGCGUGAGUGAUGAAGGCCCUAGGGUUGUAAAGCUCUUUCACCGGUGAAGAUAAUGACGGUAACCGGAGAAGAAGCCCCGGCUAACUUCGUGCCAGCAGCCGCGGUAAUACGAAGGGGGCUAGCGUUGUUCGGAUUUACUGGGCGUAAAGCGCACGUAGGCGGACUAUUAAGUCAGGGGUGAAAUCCCGGGGCUCAACCCCGGAACUGCCUUUGAUACUGGUAGUCUUGAGUUCGAGAGAGGUGAGUGGAAUUCCGAGUGUAGAGGUGAAAUUCGUAGAUAUUCGGAGGAACACCAGUGGCGAAGGCGGCUCACUGGCUCGAUACUGACGCUGAGGUGCGAAAGCGUGGGGAGCAAACAGGAUUAGAUACCCCGGUACCCAUG